rnacentral:tRNA from 1 species
GGACACGUAGCUCAGCGGCAGAGCACCACGUUGACAUCGUGGGGGUCACUGGUUCGAUCCCAGUCGUGUCCACCA